CAGAAAUGUUACUUGUGAUCCUUUAAAGAAGCUCAGAUCUAGAAAAUUCCCACAAUACCUUGAUGAAGAAGGCAAGAAAGAUUUAAUGGUGGGAUGUGUCUUUCCUUCAUCUUCUUUUUUGGCUAGAAAUCUAAGAAUGAGAAGUAUCGUCUUCGGUGGUGUUUUUAUCUUAUUCUGCCUCGUAGGUGAUUGUGCAACCUCUCCAUCCCCUUCCAUGGAUGUCUUUUAGACUACGGAACCUGCGUAACAAAACCUGCUCA